rnacentral:pre_miRNA from 1 species
UGUAAACAUCCUACACUCUCAGUUGUGACAAUGGGAAAAGCUGGGAGAAGGUUGUUUACUCU